rnacentral:rRNA from 1 species
AAAACAUCGCCUCCCGCAACACAACCAAGUAUAGGAGGUCCAGCCUGCCCAGUGACUACAAGUUCAACGGCCGCGGUAUUUUGACCGUGCAAAGGUAGCGCAAUCACUUGUCUUUUAAAUAGAGACCUGUAUGAAUGGCCAAACGAGGGCUUAACUGUCUCCCCUUUCCAGUCAGUGAAAUUGAUCUACCCGUGCAGAAGCGGGUAUAAUACUACAAGACGAGAAGACCCUUUGGAGCUUAAGGUACAAAACUCAACCACGUAAAGCAACUCAGUGAAAAGUAAAAACUUCGUGGAAAAUGAAAUUUUACCUUCGGUUGGGGCGACCACGGAGGAAAAAAAAGCCUCCAAGUGGACUGGGGAAAAACCCCUAAAACCAAGAGAGACAUCUCUAAGCCACAGAACAUCUGACCAAACAUGAUCCGGCAACAAAACCGAUCAACGAACCAAGUUACCCUAGGGAUAACAGCGCAAUCCUCUCCCAGAGUCCAUAUCGACAAGAGGGUUUACGACCUCGAUGUUGGAUCAGGACAUCCUAAUGGUGCAGCCGCUAUUAAGGGUUCGUUUGUUCAACGAUUAAAGUCCUACGUGA